AUUGAACGCUGGCGGCAGGCCUAACACAUGCAAGUCGAGCGGAUGAGAGAAGCUUGCUUCUCGAUUCAGCGGCGGACGGGUGAGUAAUGCCUAGGAAUCUGCCUGGUAGUGGGGGACAACGUUUCGAAAGGAACGCUAAUACCGCAUACGUCCUACGGGAGAAAGCAGGGGACCUUCGGGCCUUGCGCUAUCAGAUGAGCCUAGGUCGGAUUAGCUAGUUGGUGAGGUAAUGGCUCACCAAGGCGACGAUCCGUAACUGGUCUGAGAGGAUGAUCAGUCACACUGGAACUGAGACACGGUCCAGAUUCCUACGGGAGGCAGCAGUGGGGAAUAUUGGACAAUGGGCGAAAGCCUGAUCCAGCCAUGCCGCGUGUGUGAAGAAGGUCUUCGGAUUGUAAAGCACUUUAAGUUGGGAGGAAGGGUUGUAGAUUAAUACUCUGCAAUUUUGACGUUACCGACAGAAUAAGCACCGGCUAACUCCGUGCCAGCCGCCGCUGUAACAC
rnacentral:rRNA from 1 species